CUCCCGGCAUCCGGUUUCGGCCUCAGUCGGCUUCCGGAAGCUCAUCUCAAAAUGCUGAACUGUGUUUUGCAAGUCGCCGGUGCUGUCAUAGUUGGAGUCUGUUCACGUGCCUGAGCCUCGAGGCCAGGCUCUUGGGUGUCGUUAGGGGCCGCCGGGCGCCAACCGAUGGGAGCUCCAGCAGCCGGGAACAGCUGGCAUUUCAGCAGAACCAUGGAGGAACUGGUUCACGACCUUGUCUCAGCAUUGGAAGAGAGCUCAGAGCAAGCUGGAGGUGGAUUUGCUGAAACAGGAGACCAUUCUCGAAGUAUAUCUUGCCCUCUGAAAGGCCAGGCAAGGAAAAAGAGAGGGAGAAAACGGAGGUCAUAAUACGUGCAUCACCCAUGGGAGACUGGUCACUGCUUAAGUGAAGGCUCUGAUUCUAGUUUAGAAGAACCAAGCGGCCGGGCGCGGUGGCUCAAGCCUGUAAUCCCAGCACUUUGGGAGGCCGAGGCGGGUGGAUCUCAAGGUCAAGAGAUCGAGACCAUCCCUGUCAAAAUGGUGAAACCCCGUCUCUACUAAACAUACAAAAAAGUAGCUGGGCAUGGUGGCACGUGCCUGUAAUCCCAGCUACUCGGGAGGCUGAGGCAGGAGAAUUGCCUGAACCCAGGAGGCGGAGGUUGCGGUGAGCCGAGAUCGCACCAUUGCACUCCAGCCUGGGUAACAAGAGCGAAACUCCGUCUCAAAAAAAAAGAACCAAGCAAGGACUAUAGAGAGAAUCACAAUAAUAAUAAAAAAGAUCACAGUGACUCUGAUGACCAGAUGUUAGUGACAAAGCACAGGCCAUCAUCAAACCUAAAUAAUAAUGUAGAGGAAAAAGACCUUUUUUUUUUUUUUUUUUUUUUUUAGACAGAGUUUUGCUCUUGCUACCCAGGCUGGAGUGCAAUGGCGCGAUCUUGGCUCACUGCAACCUCCGCCUCCUGGGUUCAGGCAAUUCUCCUGCCUCAGCCUCCCGAGUAGCUGGGAUUACAGGCAUGCACCACCAUGCCCAGCUAAUUUUUUGUAUUUUUGGUAGAUACAGGGUUUCACCAUGUUGACCAGGAUGGUCUUAAUCUCUUGACCUCAUGAUCCACGCGCCUCGGCUUCCCAAAGUGCUGGGAUUACAGGCUUGAACCACCGCACCCCGCCGGGAAAAGACCUUUAUGGCACGAGUCUGAUUUUGCUGUGGACAAUGUUGGGAACAGAACUCUGCGCAGGAGGAGAAAGGUAAAACGCAUGGCAAUCAGUCUCCCACAGGACAUCUCUAACAAACGGACAAUGACCCAGCCACCUGAAGGCUGUAGAGAUCAGGACAUGGACAGUGAUAGAGCUUACCAGUAUCAAGAAUUUACCAAGAACAAAGUCAAAAAGAGGAAGUUGAAAAUAAUCAAACAAGGACCAAAAAUCCAAGAUGAAGGAGUAGUUUUAGAAAGUGAGGAAACGAACCAGGCCAAUAAGGACAAAAUGGAAUGUGAAGAGCAAAAAGUUUCAGAUGAGCUCAUGAGUGAAAGUUGGUGCUUAAGUGGGAGAUUAAUUAUGACUAUGAUAGCAGAGGGAAAUAAGAAUUUGAGACCAAUUUUAAUAAUUCAAAUCAAUGGGAAGUUGACUGACUGUAUUUGGGAGGAGGAAUGAGAAAGAGGACUCUACUGAAAAUAUAGGAAUUGAACAAAUCGGGGUAAGUGAUUGGUAUUAGUGUACAUAUAUUUGUUCAUCCAGCAUGUAUGGAGUAUAUUCUUAUCCAAACACAGUGGUGUUAUAAAAUUCACUCCAAAAAGGUGGAUCUCCAAGGAAAGGGUAUAACGACUGUCAGCUGCUGAAAAUAAAAAGCCUUGCUUCUAUUGAAGGUUUUUUCAGAUUUAUUGUACAUAGAAACACGUACAUAAUGUACAUGGAGCAACUUGCUAGAUAUCAAUGAGGUGAAAUGUAAAUACAGAAACAUGUUGUAUACAUAUAUGCCAGAGUACCUCAAAGUGGGACGAGGAUCAUUAAGGGCUAAGAACUGCAGGAGAGGGUUAUUCUGAUUUCCUUAUAUGUUUAAGAGACAGGGCAGGUGAAGAGGGAAGAGAGUAGAGAUAGGCAUACCACUGGGAAAAGAACAUAAACAAAGGACCAAAGAUGGGAAUGAGAAGAAUUUAGAUGGAGGCCUGUCCAUA